rnacentral:rRNA from 1 species
CAUGCAAGUCGAACGAGAGCGACCGGUGCUUGCACUGGUCAAUCUAGUGGCGAACGGGUGAGUAACACGUGGGUAACCUGCCCAUCAGAGGGGGAUAACAUUCGGAAACGGAUGCUAAAACCGCAUAGGUCUUCGAACCGCAUGGUUUGAAGAGGAAAAGAGGCGCAAGCUUCUGCUGAUGGAUGGACCCGCGGUGCAUUAGCUAGUUGGUGAGGUAACGGCUCACCAAGGCCGUGAUGCAUAGCCGACCUGAGAGGGUGAUCGGCCACAUUGGGACUGAGACACGGCCCAAACUCCUACGGGAGGCAGCAGUAGGGAAUCUUCCGCAAUGGACGCAAGUCUGACGGAGCAACGCCGCGUGAGUGAAGAAGGUUUUCGGAUCGUAAUACUCUGUUGUUAGAGAAGAACAAGUGCUAGAGUAACUGUUAGCGCCUUGACGGUAUCUAACCAGAAAGCCACGGCUAACUACGUGCCAGCAGCCGCGGUAAUACGUAGGUGGCAAGCGUUGUCCGGAUUUAUUGGGCGUAAAGCGAGCGCAGGCGGUUCCUUAAGUCUGAUGUGAAAGCCCCCGGCUCAACCGGGGAGGGUCAUUGGAAACUGGGGAACUUGAGUGCAGAAGAGGAGAGCGGAAUUCCAUGUGUAGCGGUGAAAUGCGUAGAUAUAUGGAGGAACACCAGUGGCGAAGGCGACUCUCUGGUCUGUAACUGACGCUGAGGCUCGAAAGCGUGGGUAGCAAACAGGAUUAGAUACCCUGGUAGUCCACGCCGUAAACGAUGAGUGCUAAGUGUUGGAGGGUUUCCGCCCUUCAGUGCU